AGCCGCACACAGAAGCCAAGAGGCAGGCGAGAUAGGGCUGCCUUCUAUAGGAAAAUGUACACGUAUAAGAAGAGAGGAGUAACAGGUUGAUAUGACUGGCAGGUUAGUUUCAGAGGGGAUAUGGACUUUUGCAGAAGGAGAGAGGUCUUAACGGGUGAGAAGGAACUGCCCUCAAGUGUAGGGAUAACUUGCCAUUAGCGAGCUGGCGGGGCAUCUUGUGACUCUUUUUGCCCAAGAGAAGAGGAAGAGAGUAGUGAAUGACAGGCACGAAGCCAGUGGAGCCUGUGCUGUUUUUCCCCUGUUCCCAGCUUUGACAGUUAUGAACAACAAGGAGACGAGGAGACAACUGUAAAUAAAGCCAAGAGAACAGGGCACACAGCCUGAGGGAAAGUAAUUACCGCAGCUCUGUUUCGCUCUUGAGCUGCUGGAAAUACAGGCAGUUGGGUUUGUGGACUCUAUUUUUAUUUUGGACGGCUAAGACACACACAAGAGGACUGGUUGUUGAGAGUGUUUUUUGGACCGCCUUGGAGGACAGCCGGUAUGGACGUGGGUUUCUCUUUGCGCUCGGAGGCGGUGGGAGCCAUGAGGACAGCGCUGGUGUCUGCUGAGAACUUACAGCUCACUCUGAAGACUCAGCCGAGUCAGGAAGAACAAGCCCUCACACACACCAACAGUAGCCCCAAGGAGACACACAAAGCCGGGAAUGAAGACCUUAAAGAGAUGUUGGAGAGCAACAAGGAGUCGCUCAAACUGGAGGCCAUGAAAAGGGUUGUAGGGCUGAUCGCCAAAGGGAAAAAUGCCUCCGAGCUGUUUCCUGCUGUUGUGAAGAACGUCGCGAGUAAGAACAUCGAGCUUAAGAAGCUUGUGUAUGUCUACCUGGUGAGGUACGCGGAGGAGCAGCAGGACCUGGCUUUACUGUCCAUCAGCACCUUCCAGCGGGCCCUGAAGGACCCAAACCAGUUCAUCCGGGCCAGCGCGCUGAGGGUUCUGUCCAGUAUCCGCGUCCCCAUCAUCGUCCCCAUCAUGAUGCUGGCCAUCAAGGAGGCAGCGGCCGACCUGUCCCCGUACGUCAGGAAGACGUCUGCCCACGCUAUCCAAAAGCUCUACAGCCUGGAUCCAGAACAGAAGGAGCAGCUGAUUGAAGUGAUAGAGAAACUAUUGAAAGACAAAAGCACACUAGUGGCCGGCAGUGUGGUGAUGGCGUUCGAAGAAGUGUGUCCAGAUCGCAUCGACCUGAUCCACAAGAACUACAGGAAGCUGUGUAACCUGCUGGUGGAUGUGGAGGAGUGGGGCCAGGUGGUCAUCAUCUCUAUGCUGACACGCUACGCCAGGACGCAGUUCAUCAGCCCCUGGAAGGAGGGUGCCACGUUCGAUGAGAACAACGAGAAGACGUUCUACGACUCGGAUUCUGAGGAGAAGAAGGAGCAGCAGCUGGAGGCCAAGCCUUACGUCAUGGAUCCAGAUCACAGGCUGCUGCUGAGGAACACCAAACCUCUGCUGCAGAGCAGGAACACUGCCGUGGUGAUGUCUGUCGCUCAGCUUUACUGGCAUCUGGCCCCUAAACAUGAAGUCAGCAUUGUCACGAAGUCACUGGUUCGACUACUAAGGAGCCACAGAGAGGUGCAGUACAUCGUGCUGCAGAACAUCGCCACCAUGUCUAUUCAGAGAAAAGGGAUGUUUGAGCCCUACAUGAAGAGUUUCUAUGUCAGAUCUACAGACGCUACACAUAUCAAAACACUGAAGCUGGAGAUCCUGACCAACCUCGCCAAUGAAGCAAACAUCUCCACUAUUCUGAGGGAAUUUCAGACCUACGUGAAGAGUCAGGACAAGGCGUUUGCGGCAGCCACGAUUCAGGCAAUCGGCAGGUGCGCCACCAACAUCUCUGAGGUGACGGACACCUGUCUCAACGGUCUGGUGCUGCUCCUUUCCAACAGAGACGAGACGGUGGUGGCCGAGAGCGUUGUGGUGAUAAAGAAGCUGCUCCAGACUCAGCCCACCCAGCACAGUGAGAUCAUCAAACACAUGGCCAAGCUGUUCGACAACAUCACGGUCCCCAUGGCCCGAGCCAGCAUCCUGUGGCUGAUGGGAGAGUACUGCGAGAGGGUGCCGAAGAUCGCCCCUGAUGUCCUUCGUAAGAUGGCCAAGACGUUCACAGCCGAGGAGGACAUAGUGAAGCUGCAGACAGUCAACCUGGCAGCCAAACUCUACCUGAUCAACUCUAAACAGACCAAGCUGCUGACCCAGUACAUCCUGAACCUGGGCAAAUACGACCAGAACUACGACAUCAGAGACCGAACGCGCUUCAUACGGCAGCUGAUAGUCCCCAACGAGAAGAGCGGAGCCCUCAACAAGUACGCUCGACGCAUCCUGCUGGCGCCCAAACCCGCUCCGGUGCUGGAGUCUGCCUUCAAAGAUCGUGACCGUUACCAGCUGGGCACUCUCUCCCACAGCCUCAAUACCAAAGCCACUGGAUACCAGGAGCUGUCGGACUGGCCGCCGGUUGCUCCCGAUCAGUCUGUGAGGAACGUGGAAGUGAUCGAGCCCGUGAAAGAGUGGGCGCCAUUAGUCGGGAAGACCAAGCAGUCCAAGUCCGACGACAAGUUCUACUCGGACGAUGAAGAUGAGAAAGAAGAGGAAGGCUCUGAUAGCAACGGCAGUGAAGACAGCAGCAGCAGCAGCAGCAACAGCAGCAGUGAAGAGUCGGGCAGCGAGAGUGAGGAGGAAAGCAGCGACGAGUCGGAAAAGUCCUCCAGCGAUUCGGGAAAGAGUUCGAGCGGAUCUGAAGACAGCUCCAGUGAAUCCCAAUCAGAGCAGAAGAAGAAGAAGAAGAAAAAGACCAAGACGGCGCCGCAGAAGAAAAACAAGCCGACUGCUGCUGACAGUGACUCGGAUGAAAACGGUAACGGACCCGUGGCCCACGCCGGCAGCUCAUCAUCUGAAAGCUCCUCCCCCUCGGAGACAGACUCUGAAGACGACUCGGAUUCAGACCCACCUACACCACAGAAGAAGAAGAGUGACGUCAAGUCCAAACCCAAGGUGGAGGUGAAGUCCAAGAAGGAAGUCUCACUACUGGAUCUAGAUGACUUUUCCUCUGCACCUACAAACACGCCAAAGUCCGCAGUCCUGUCUUCGAGCCUGCUGUCCGACCUGGAGGGCCUGUCUCUCUCCAACGUCUCCUCCGUCAUGCAGGUCACCGCUCCGUCUUUCGGCCCCGUCAAAACCUACGAGCUGCUCCACCAUAUGACAGGAAAAGGGCUCUCGGCCAAGUACCAUUUCCCCAGGCAGCCGUGUCUGUACCAGCCCAGCAUGGUGGCCGUGCAGGUCAUACUCACCAACAGCUCAGACCACAGCUUGGAGGAGAUCCACGUGGGUGACCGAAACCCUGCGAGCCUCAACAUCCACUGCUUUAACACCAUCGAGCGGCUGGAGCCAGAGGCCUCAGUGACGGUUUCCAUGGGUAUUGACUUCAGCGACUCGACACAAGCAGCCAACUUCCAGUUGUGCACCAAGGAGGACCAGUUCAGUGUGUCCAUCCAGGCUGCCGUAGGAGAGCUCCUAAUGCCCAGUAGCAUGGCAGAGCAGGACUUCAGCAAGGAGCAAGGUAAGCUCCUGGGCAUGAAUGAGACCUCGCAAACCGUCACCAUGGCAACAGCAAACACCUCCAGCCAGGCCAUCAGCAAGCAGGUCUUGUCUGUGGCCAACGUAGGAGUGGUGUCAUCCGGCCAGAGCAACUUCCACAGGUUCGCCGGGCGGACGGUCAGCAGUGGAGCCCUGGUCCUGGUGUCCCUGGAGAUGAAGGAGUCCUCCACCGCGCUGCUCACCAUCAACACAGAAAAGAGCGUCAUGGCGUCCAUGUUGCUCCGAGACCUCAAACAAGCCCUCGCCCAAGCGUAGAACUCCCCUCCUCCCUCCUCCCUCCCUCCCUCCAGGUUCUUUUAGUACAGCUUUCCACGGGCUCCCCACCACCUCUCAUCCAUCCCGGGGAGAGAGCAUGCACGCGGCUGCAAGUCAUACAGGGGCGCAGUAAUCGCUUCAGAGAUGGUGAUAAUGACACCGAUGUGAUGGGUGUGAGGGUGGGGAGAUGACCCCCCUGCAGGCUGCAUGGUCACGACGGGAGAAAAACAACCACUAAUGUCAACAACAACAACAAAAAAAAGAAAAAUCUAUUACACUUCCGGAAAAGGCGCGAACGGUUGUUUGUUCUUGGAACUUUAACAUGAUGGAUAACUUUCAUUUCUGUCAUUUAGAUUCAUAUCAGCUUUAAAGAGGCCUGUGGUUCGGUUUGUCCUCCCCUGAUCACCCGCGCUAACACGACACACCUCACCUGUCAGCGCCGGAAGAAGAAGAAGAAGAAGAAGAAGAGGGGGG